CAAGCUCCUUUUGAUAUUCCCUGCCCCAGAGCUCAUGACCAGAACCCAGAGCUGAUUUAAAAUAUUUUGAAAAAUGGAGGAGGCAGACUGCUCCCAGCAGCCUGUCAAUGGCUGCUCAUCUGUCCAUGGAGAUGGUUACAGGCAGGUGUAGUCAAAAUGAUUGAUUCCUUGGGUUUGGGGGUGAAUAGGCUGGGAAAUUUCUGAGCCUUUUUUUUUUGUCACAGUGCCCUCAAGUUGAAGUGAUGAGCUGGAUUUCUUUCUUGUUCCAUACUGGGCGGCAUGCUCCUCCCAUCUCCACCCCUUGGUUUGGGGGCUUCCAGCUCAUUGGCAAAAUCUCUCUAGUUGCCUUCCUUUCAAGCUGGAGCCUGACUUUUCCCCAAUGUACAUUUUUUUUUUCUCCACAAAGAGUUCCUUCUCUAAUGUCCCCAUCUGGUAUUAAGUGCACUUUAAAGAAAGGGGCAGGGUGGAUUUUCAAGAGGUGGGAAGCUCUAAGGCUUGACCCUGAGGGGUCUUCUCCCAGCCAUUCUCAGCCCAUAUGCAGCACCCUCCAUACUGAAGAGGACUGUUGUUUUAGUUUCAGACGGUCCUUUCCUUCCACAUGGUGCUAAGGUGGUUUUCUAGGUAACUGCAGGGAUGGAGGUCACUAGCCAUUCCAAACCAGGAGAGAAAGUCUGGUGUCCUGAUAUCCAGUCUUUUCUAGGAGGAAGACCAAGAUUCUCCAGCGGCAGGGCAGCCUAUCACCCAACUUCUAAGUCAGGAAAGGAAGCUGAGUGGGAAUGCCAGCUGGUAAGCGCAGGCUGCACUGGCCCAUGACUCCUUCAAGGAAAAGAGGCCCUGCUCCCUUUACCUGCUGAGCUCCUUUUAGCAGUUAGGGAGAACUGCAGGGGGAAAAAUACCAGUGGAGUGUGGAAUAAAUCCAAAGCAGUGAUUUUUAAAUGUUUUUCAAAAACAAAUCUUACAUAGAACCCCAAUAUAAAAAAUAAAGUAAUGCAGACCUGGGCAGUUUGCAUUUUUUUUUUUUUUUUUUUUUGGUGGAAGAAGUCUCAGCGUCUCUUAGGACUGACUGUUCAAAGGCUCCUCAGCAAAUGAGCCCUUGAACAGUCCUAAGAGACCCUGAGGAUUCUGUGGAGUAGUUUGAAAACCAUUGUUCUGAGGAAGGGGGUCCAAUCUGGCUCCUCUGCACUAAAGCUGCAACUCAUGGAAAAGAGGGCAACGGUGGGGUAGACAAGCCAUGCUGUCUCCAGACCCACUAGGGUGGAAGGAAGGUUCCUGUGGGCCUGUGGACUUAGGCUAAUAUUUGCUGUCAGCAGGGCACUUAAGAAUCCAGGGGGUUUUAUGUAAUGUUGCCACCACAUGGUUCUUUUAAAAACACAUAAGGAAAUGUGAGGGUGUAGCGCAGAUGAGGAGAGAGAUGACACAGAGGGAGCAGCCUUCUCUUUAGCAAGAUGUAAGGGAAAUAUAAUUCACUUACAUAAAAAAGAAACAACACACACGCAAACCCUUCACCAGAAGCUUCACACUACAUCCUCCUCCUCCUCCUGCUCCCCACCUUCACCGCAUCCCUUUCAGAGCCAGGGUCACUGCAAGGGGCACCUGGCCUGCCCACUCACAUCUGCCAAAAUGUUGCAUGCCAGCGUGGAAGACAAACCAAACUGCGCAACCCCCUGUGUGUAUUUACUUGGUGUACAUAGAUAACUUUAAAAUAAAAUAAAUUCAAUGAU
rnacentral:lncRNA from 1 species